AGCACACGAUGGGGUGUCUGAGGCCCUGGGCCCGAUUUGCACUCCUGACUGUGGCCCACCUGCUGGCCCUGGGGCUGGGGGCUGUGGUGCUACAGGCCCUGGAGGGGCCUCCAGCUCUCCAGGUCCAGGCCCGGCUCAGGGCUGAGCUGACCACGUUCCAGGCAGAGCACGGGGCCUGCCUGCCACCUGGGGCACUGGAGGAGUUGCUGGGUGCUGCCUUGGUGGCACAGGCCCACGGGGUCUCCAGCCUGGGCAACGGCUCAGAGGCCAGGAACUGGGACCUGCCCUCCGCCCUUCUCUUCACUGCCAGCAUCCUCACCACCACGGGUUAUGGGCAUACAGCCCCGCUCUCAGCCGGCGGCAAGGCCUUCUGUGUUGUCUAUGCGGCCCUGGGGCUGCCGGCCUCGCUAGCCCUCGUGGCCGCUCUGCGCCACUGCCUACUGCCUGUGCUCAGCCGCCCGGGUGCCUGGGCAGUGGCCCACUGGCAGCUGGCACCGGCCAGGGCUGCGCUGCUGCAGGCAGCUGGACUGGGCCUGCUGGUGGCGGGCGUCUUCGUGCUGCUGCCCGCGCUGGUGCUGUGGGGCGUGCAGGGUGACUGCAGCCUGCUGGAGGCCCUCUACUUCUGCUUCGGCUCACUCAGCACCAUCGGCCUGGGGGACCUGCUGCCCGGCCAUGGCCACCACCUGCAUCCAGCUCUCUACAGCCUCGGCCGGCUCGCCCUUCUCGGUUACUUGCUCCUUGGGCUCCUGGCCAUGCUGCUGACCGUGGAGACCUUCUCGGAGCUGCCCCAGGUCCGAGCCCUCGUUAGGUUCUUCGAGUCCAGUGGCCCUCCGACUGCUGAUGACCAAAGUAGCAUUGUACUCCAGGAUGAGCUGGCCCUGAGCACCCUGCCACCCGCAACCCCUGCCCCGGAACAGGCCCCGGCUUGCUGACAGGUGUCUCUUGGCAGAGUUCAAGUGGAGGAGGUGCCAGAGGAGGAAGCACCGGGGCAGGGAGUGGAGGAGAUGUGAGGACCCUGGAGAUGGACUUCCCUACGACCAUCAGAAACCCAACCCCCGUGCCCCUUCUCCUCCGUCAUCCGCGGAGGGCCGACAUGCAGCUUCAACUAGCCUCUGGGAAGCUCAAAGCCCGCCCAGCUUGGGUUAGGAUCGCAGAGACAACCUUAAUCGGCUUAAGUCCCACCCUCUUCAGUCUAUUGAAAGCCCCGAUGCUCCGAGAAAGGGCCUGCGCUCCGUGUUCUGGUCUAACUUUAUUGCUCGCAACCAACAGGAAGGGGCGGGGGCCGGGCACGGCGGUUGACCGAGCCUCCUUCUCCUCGACCCCGGGCUGGCCCGUGCCAGCUCUGCCGUCGAGAAGGGGUUGUGUGGGGCG